rnacentral:rRNA from 1 species
AUCCAUAGCCAUGCCACCCUGAACAAGCCCUAUCCUGUCUGAUCUCAGAAGCUAAGCAGGGUCGGACCUGGUUAGUACUUGGAUGGGAGACCACCUAGGAAGACUGCGUGCUGUAGGCA